rnacentral:lncRNA from 1 species
UUUUUGGUAUGUGGGACAAGCACAGUACGAAGCUGGCACCACAGGCUACUGUUUCCUUUGCUAUGCAUUUACUAAGCAUGUUGGAAGUCAUGCAUCCAAGAUAAAUGUGAUCAUCUCCACUCUCAAAGGAUAUAUAGAACAAGAAGAUAUAUGUAAAGAUAUAUGUAGGACAAACUCUUAAACCAGCAUGGGACCUGGAACAUGUGCCCCACAGAUCUGAGGACUGAUGGAGCUAACUGAUGACUGGUGUCUGGGAAGGCAGCAUGUUUGCCACCCUGUUCUCACUUCUGAAGGAGCUGAAAGAUUUAGUUUCCAAAGCCUCUGGCCAGAUCACACUCCCCCUCC